AUAGCGUAUAUUAAAGUUGUUGCAGUUAAAAAGCUCGUAGUUGAACUUCAGACCUGGCUGGGCGGUCUGCCUUCACGGUAUGUACUGUCUGGCUGGGCCUUACCUCUUGGUGAGCCGGCGUGCCCUUUAUUGGUGUGCGUCGGGGAACCAGGACUUUUACCUUGAGAAAAUUAGAGUGUUCAAAGCAGGCCUGUGCCUGAAUACAUUAGCAUGGAAUAAUAAAAUAGGACGUGCGGUUCUAUUUUGUUGGUUUCUAGAGUCGCCGUAAUGAUUAAUAGGGAUAGUUGGGGGCAUUGGUAUUGAGUCGCUAGAGGUGAAAUUCUUGGAUUGACUCAAGACCGACUAUUG
rnacentral:rRNA from 1 species